GACGAACGCUGGCGGCGUGCUUAACACAUGCAAGUCGAACGGAAAGGCCCUGCUUUUGUGGGGUGCUCGAGUGGCGAACGGGUGAGUAACACGUGAGUAACCUGCCCUUGACUUUGGGAUAACUUCAGGAAACUGGGGCUAAUACCGGAUAGGAGCUCCUGCUGCAUGGUGGGGGUUGGAAAGUUUCGGCGGUUGGGGUUGGACUCGCGGCUUAUCAGUUUGUUGGUGGGGUAGUGGCUUACCAAGGCUUUGACGGGUAGCCGGCUGGAGGGGGUGACCGGCACCAUGGGGACUGGGAACCGGCCCAGGCCCCUACGGGGGGCAGGGGGGGGGAAUUUUGCCAAAGGGGCGGAGGCCGGGUGCAGCAACGCCGGGUGGGGGAGGACGGCCUUGGGGUUGUAAACCGCUUUCGCCGGGAACGAAGCGGGGGGGAGGGAAAUGGGGAAAAAAGCACCGGCAAACUCGGU
rnacentral:rRNA from 1 species